CCUACGUGUGGCAGCAGUGAGGAAUAUUGGUCAAUGGGCGGAAGCCUGAACCAGCCAAGUAGCGUGCAGGAUGACGGCCCUACGGGUUGUAAACUGCUUUUAUACGGGAAUAACGCGCCUUACGUGUAGGGUUUUGCAUGUACCGUAUGAUUCAGGACCGGCUAAUUCCGUGCAAGCAGCCGCGGUAAUACGGCAGGUCCGAGCGUUAUCCGGAUUUAUUGGGUUUAAAGGGAGCGUAGGUAGCAUGUCAAGCGUGCUGUGAAAUGUUCGGGCUCAACCCGGGCCUUGCAGCGCGAACUGGCGUGCUUGAGGCCGCGGAAGGCAGGCGGAAUUCGUCGUGUAGCGGUGAAAUGCUUAGAUAUGACGAAGAACCCCGAUUGCGAAGGCAGCUUGCUGCAGCGUAACUGACGCUGAUGCUCGAAAGCGCGGGUAUCGAACAGGAUUAGAUACCCUUGUAGUC
rnacentral:rRNA from 1 species